UAAGCGAUAUAGUGGUUUGAAAUUUACGUGACGUCACAGUGAGCUGCGCCCUCCCUUCUCCUUACUUUUUCCUGUGUCAUUGAACACAACUCGAGACUUUCGAAACCUCCCACUCAGUAUCGGAUGAAUAACACAGUUUGAUGUUUUGCUUGUUCUGCUGACGGACACGUUAAAGACGUCUGCGCUCCCGUUUCUGUGCAUGUCCAGCAUGAGACAACUGGAAUUCAACCACAUUGAACACCGACUUCAGGGACAGACGAGCCUGAAGGACACAGCUGUGAUGACCAUGUUCUGUCUCUUAUGGCAAAGCAGAAAUAUAAAACACUGGGUUCUUAUCUAAAGUGUAUCAAAUCAGAUCUCCACCAUGUUGCUGCUGAGGACAUCAGGUGCUGCAGUUCUUCAUCUAUGAAGAGAAAAAACGCACUGUUAAAGAAUGUUUUGUGUUGUGUAUAAAGCACAACAGAUUUCUGAUAGAACUGUUGUACUGUGGUCUUGGUUUAUAUCCUCAUGGUGAAAUGUACAUAUUUUAAGUCCCUUCUGAUAAAAGUGCUGAAAGAAAUACAACAUUGUACAAAUACAUAAAAUGUCUUUCUACCUCAUCAGUACUAUUCAAGGUGAUAAACUCCCACAGACCUAUUGAUAACAGUCCAAAUCAAGUCUUUCCACUUCUCUCAGUGUGAAAACAUAAUUCUAUAAUUAAUUUGAGAACUGUUUACAACACUGAUGUGUGGAGAUUAAAAUCAUACCUAAACUGUCUAAUUCACUGUAAAACUCCAUGACAUUCGCAGGCCAUCUGUAGUUAAGGGAGCAACGCAUGGAAUGAUGUGUAGAUUACUAGUUUGAUGAUGCAUGAGGAGAGGCGGUGGUCGAGUGGCAGAAACUUGGACUAUGGGCAGAGAAGGUCUCUGGUUCGUCUUUGGUUCGACUCCAUGGAGAGACAACAAAAGUCGAACCUGGAUUGAUCUGUCCAAAAAUCCAAGAGUCUCCCUACCCUCUCUAGUGCCCAUGAGCAAGGCACCUCACUCCCCCAACAUCUGCUCCCCCGAGCGCCGUACAUGGUCGCUCACUGCUCUGUGUGUCCUGCACCAGAUGGGUAAAAAGCAGCGAUUAAAUUUCCCUACCUGCAUGAGUGUGCCUUUGCAUGUCUGUGCAUGUGUUUGGGAUGAAUAAAUGGAUUUUAAUCUUAAUCUUUUAAUCUUAAUCAGUUGUCUUCCAGUUGACCAGCAUGAAGCUGCAGAUCUCCACCAUGUUGCUGCUGGGGACAUCAGGAGCUGCAUUAAUGAGGAGCAGAAGCGUACUGUUAUGAAUGUUUUGUGUUGUUUAUGAAGCACUACUUAUUUCAGCUAGAACCGAUGUACUAGGGUCUGGGUUUGUAUCCUAAUGGUUAAAUGCACAUACUUUAAAUCGCUUUUGAUAAAACGUGACAAAGAAAUACAACAUUGUACACAUAGAUAAAAUGUCUUUCUACCUCAUCUGUAAUAUUCAAGGUGAUGAUCUCCCACAGAGCUGUUGAUAACAGUCCACAUCAAGUCUCUCCACUUCCCUCAGUGUGAAAACAUAAUUAUAUAAUUAAUUGGAGAAGUGUUUACAACACUGAUGUGUGGACAUUAUAAUGUUAUCACUACUGUCUAAUUCACUCUACAACUCCAUGACAGACUAAAUAAACAAUGUGAAAAUAGUAAUGGCGGA